GGUGGCUCAGUGGUAGAGUGCUUGCCUUGCAUGCAUGAGGCCCUGGGUUCAACAACUCAGCACCA
rnacentral:tRNA from 1 species